UAGGCUCUGGAACCAGUCUCCUUGAAGGGGGUUGGACCCUCUUCCACUCUGGAGGGAGAAGACAUUUACACACAGAAGACAAGAAGUUGUGAUACACCCUUGAUUGCUGAUUUCAAAAGCAGAUCGCCGGCUCUCUUCUGUUUCCGUGAGCUAACUGCUGAAUUUAAGAGGAUCACAACAGUGAGUUGUUCUAUGAGCGGGAUGCUCAGUCUUCAACCCUGAUGAGGGUGUUUGGCAAGAAAGGCGGUGUUCAAGGAAGAAAGAUUAGAAGCAUUAUGAUACUCAUAACCCAGACCGAUGUCAUUGAUGUCAGGAGAGAGUGCAUCAUCAAAGCCCUCUGUGUACCUGAACGAAGAGCCUGAGAACACCGUGAAAGAAUAC